rnacentral:rRNA from 1 species
AGGACGAACGCUGGCGGCGUGCUUAACACAUGCAAGUGGAGCGACGAACCAGGGCUUGCCCUGGGGCAGAGCCGCGAACGGGUGAGUAACACGUGGGCAACCUGCCCCUAGCACUGGGAUAACUCCGGGAAACCGGGGCUAAUACCGGAUAUGACCUUUGAGGGCAUCCUCGAAGGUGUAAAGGAUUCUGGCUAGGGAUGGGCCCGCGGCCUAUCAGCUUGUUGGUGGGGUAAUGGCCUACCAAGGCGACGACGGGUA